rnacentral:rRNA from 1 species
CCUACGGGAGGCAGCAGUGGGGAAUAUUGCACAAUGGGCGCAAGCCUGAUGCAGCCAUGCCGCGUGUGUGAAGAAGGCCUUCGGGUUGUAAAGCACUUUCAGCGGGGAGGAAGGCGGUGAGGUUAAUAACCUCAUCGAUUGACGUUACCCGCAGAAGAAGCACCGGCUAACUCCGUGCCAGCAGCCGCGGUAAUACGGAGGGUGCAAGCGUUAAUCGGAAUUACUGGGCGUAAAGCGCACGCAGGCGGUCUGUCAAGUCGGAUGUGAAAUCCCCGGGCUCGACCUGGGAACUGCAUUCGAAACUGGCAGGCUAGAGUCUUGUAGAGGGGGGUAGAAUUCCAGGUGUAGCGGUGAAAUGCGUAGAGAUCUGGAGGAAUACCGGUGGCGAAGGCGGCCCCCUGGACAAAGACUGACGCUCAGGUGCGAAAGCGUGGGGAGCAAACAGGAUUAGAUACCCGGGUAGUC